CCACAAGCUUACCUUGGAGAAGAGGAUCAGCUGAGGCCAUCUAGUCCUUUGGUUCGUCUUGGUCAGAGGUGGAGUAAGGCUUUAGGUAUCCAACCAGUUCCAAGACUAAUCUCUUAGGUGAGUCUAGAUAGAAGAUGAGACAGAUCAUGUAUGAGUACAUGAUUGACUUUAAAUUGUAGUAUCUCAAUUAGAUAGUCAAGUCUUUGAAUCCUUUGAGAAGUGUAUGGUGUUUACUUAGUGUAAACACUUACACUUGAAGAUUAAGCAAAAGGUUAAAGUGAGGUUAAUCAUAAUCAUAGUACUUGUUCUCAAGUACUAAUCUUAACUAUGAAAUAAUCAUGGUUUAAUUAAAGAUUAAUCAUGGUUUAAUUAAGAAUUAAUCUUGGUUUAAUUGAGAAUUAAUCUGAGAUUAAUUAAGGAGUAAUCAUGAUUAAUUAAGUACUAAUCUUGGAUUAAUUAAAGAUUAAUAUGAGAUUAAUUAAGGAUUAAUCUAGGAUUAAUUAAGAGUUAAUUAUGAUUAAUUAUAGAUUAAUUUGAAAUAAAUAUGGAAGUAAAAUAAUGUGAAGUAAAAUAAUGUGAAGUCUUGUUAUAUUCACUAUCCCUAAAGCCCCCGCAUUACCGUGACUUGGUCCUGCGAAUGGAACAAGGUCAUGAAGACACGAUGAUGGGGUAGCUCCCUGGAGACCGUGUACUGCAUGACGAUGCAGUGUCGGAUUGUUCAUACCGGACAUUCGACAAUGAUGGUGAUGCUAACUCACUAGUCUCGGUUAGCCUUAGUGGUUUCUCGG